rnacentral:lncRNA from 1 species
GCCAUCGGCAGUCGUCGUACUGCGUUGCGGAGGAAUAGACAUCUGAACAUCGCCUCACGAUGGCUCCGUAUCGUCGCGCAUGUGCGAGUUGAAAUAAGGUGGCCGGUGCGGUAAUAGCAUUCGGGGUAAUACUGGUGCAGACUGGAAGCGACUCGCCGCGACAGUCGGACGUGCAUCAAAGCGACGCGUCGACUUGUCUGAAGGAACGAUCUCUGCAGUUUAACCGAAUGGUAUGGCGAGAAGAUAAACCUCCGAAAGUCUAUAAAAUGCAUCACAGAAA